AGUCAACAUAGAACAAGUUGACAAUAUGGGUGAUAUUGUGUUUGUAAUUAUGUUCAAUUAUGUAAUUAUUAGAAGAACCAUCAAGUUUCAUGGAUACCACGGAAUUUUAGUCUAUUUUUCCAGCACUGCUUAGUUCUUAAACUAUUUCUAUAAUUCAGAAAAUUACUUUUUUUUUUGGUUGUUCCUAUUGGUCAGUGUACUUGGAACCACCAUCAAUUUUGUGCUUUGAUUUUCUUACUGAUUUUUUUUUUUUUUUUUUUUUUGAGAAAAAUUAAGUCAUUUUUUGUUUGUUGCAUAUUUGUAUGCUAAAUUGGUGAGAUGUGAAUGCCACCAUGUAGUGCAAGUCCAAUGCUUGAACUGUUUAGAAUUUGAUUUCUUUCACUGGAAUGGAAUAAGAGAAGAAGAGAAUAUUGUUUGUGUAAGCUAUCUAGUUCAAACUAUUUGCGGACAAGUGGAUCCUCAAGGCGAGCUGCUAUCUCAAGCAGUCGUGAUUUAGGGAUGGUUGGAAGUGAAUAUGAUCCAACUCACCCUCAGAGUACAGAUGCUAGCAGUGGAGCACUUGCUAGAAUAGCAAGUAUUCAAAGGAGUUCACCUAUUGUAUCUUCUGAGAACAAGCGGUCGUCAUCUGGUAGGAACACUUCAAUGAUGAAGAACUAUGAAUCCAAUAUUCGGGGCAUCGAGAGCCUGCAUUUUCAAUAAUGUUGGAGACAUUACAUUGAUAUGAAAGAAGGUGAUGAAAUGGUAGCCGGAUGUAAAUCUUAAUACAAUGUUAUUAUGCUGCUACACAGAUGAGAGUGGAAUAUGGGUUGCUUGUGUAAUGUGGUGGUUGUAGGAAAAGCUGCAAGGCAGCAGAGCGGGAGAUCAGAGCCAUAAGCAUGGAACAAAAUAUUAAUAAACAAGAGAUGAUGGAGAAGUAGGUCUCCCAAAUCUGGAGAUAGCAAGGCUGCUUAUUAUUAUGUGUUGAUUUUCCAAUGUUAUUAUUGACUCGUGAGUUAAUUUGUUUUGCAAACAAAUGGUUAUACUUACCCAGCAGUUGUAAGAUCUGUAAGUAUUACACUAUGAAUAUGCAAGGUUGAACAUUGGGAAUGCUGUGUUAUUUACCUUUUUUGAUUUGGAGAAGAUGGUGAACCCAGCUGUUGGUACAA